GGACUACCGGGGUAUCUAAUCCUGUUUGCUCCCCACGCUCUCGCACCUCAGUGUCAGUCUGGACCCAGGCUGCCGCCUUCGCCACUGGUGUUCUUUCCGAUCUCUACGCAUUUCACCGCUACACCGGAAAUUCCACAGCCCUCUGUCCGACUCUAGUCGUAUAGUAUCCAACGCAAUUCCCAGGUUAAGCCCAGGGCUUUCACAUCAAACUUAUACCACCACCUACGUGCGCUUUACGCCCAGUAAUUCUGAUUAACGCUUGCACCCUCUGUAUUACCGCGGCUGCUGGCAC
rnacentral:rRNA from 1 species